AACGAACGCUGGCGGCAUGCCUAACACAUGCAAGUCGAACGAGACCUUCGGUUCUAGUUGCUCACGGGUGCGUAACGCGUGGGAACCUGCCCUUAGGUUCGGCAUACCUCCCCGCAAGGGGUGCUAAUACCGGAUAAUGUCUUCGGACCCCAGAUUUAUCGCCUUUGUAUGGGCCCGCGUUGGAUUAGCUUGUUGGUAGGGUAAGAGCCUACCAAGGCGACGAUCCAUAGCUGGUCUGAGAGGAUGAUCAGCCACACUGGGACUGAGACACGGCCCAGACUCCUACGGGAGGGAGCAGAGGGGAAUAUUGGACAAUGGGCGAAAGCCUGAUCCAGCAAGGCCGCGGGAGUGAUGAAGGCCGUAGGGUUGUAAAGCUCUUUUACCCGGGAUGAUAAUGACAGUACCGGGAGAAUAAGCACCGGCUAACUCCGUG
rnacentral:rRNA from 1 species